rnacentral:rRNA from 1 species
CCCUUAGAUGUUCUGGGCUGCACGCGUGCUACACUGAUUACUUCAACAAGUGUUUUAACUGGAGAGUUCGCGUAAUCCUGAAAUGUUAUCGUGAUGGGAGUAGAGUAUUGUAUUUGUUAAUCUUUAACGAGGACUUCCUAGUAAGUGUAGGUUUAUUUGUUUUUUUUUUUACGUCCCUGCCCUUUGUACACACCGCCCGUCGCUCCUACCGAUUGAUUGAUCCGGUGAAUUCUUCGGAUUGCUGGAUAGGAGGGCAACCACCUAUCUGCGAGAAGUUGCUUGAACCUUAUCAUUUAGAGGAAGGAGAAGUCGUAACA